AGAGUUUGAUCCUGGCUCAGAAUGAACGCUGGCGGCGUGUUUAAGACAUGCAAGUCGAACGGAGUAACAUGAGUAGCAAUACAAGUGUUGCUCAGUGGCGCACGGGUGCGUAACACGUGAGUUACAUGCCCUGCAGAGAGGGAUAGCCCAGGGAAACUUGGAUUAAUACCUCAUGGUCUCGCAAGAGUAAAGAUGGCCGUAAGGCUGUCACUGCAGGAUUGGCUCGCGGCCUAUCAGCUAGUUGGUGAGGUAACGGCUCACCAAGGCUACGACGGGUACCUGGUCUGAGAGGACGAUCAGGCACACUGGAACUGAGACACGGUCCAGACACCUACGGGUGGCAGCAGUCGAGAAUCAUUCACAAUGGGGGCAACCCUGAUGGUGCAACGCCGCGUGGAGGAAGAAGGUCUUCGGAUUGUAAACUCCUGUCAUCUAGGAGCAAGGCAUGGUGGUAAAUAGCCAACAUGAUUGAUAGUACUAGAAGAGGAAGGGACGGCUAACUUCGUGCCAGCAGCCGCGGUAAUACGAAGGUCCCGAGCGUUAUUCGGAAUCACUGGGCGUAAAGGGAGCGUAGGCGGCGUGGAAAGUCAGAUGUGAAAUCCCAGAGCUCAACUCUGGAACUGCAUCCGAUACUACCAUGCUAGAGUAUUGGAGGGGUAACUGGAAUUCUCGGUGUAGCAGUGAAAUGCGUAGAUAUCGAGAGGAACACUCGUGGCGAAAGCGAGUUACUGGACAAUUACUGACGCUGAGGCUCGAAAGCUAGGGGAGCAAAAGGGAUUAGAUACCCCUGUAGUCCUAGC
rnacentral:rRNA from 1 species